CUGGUAUCUGAAGAUGCGGUUGACCAUGGUGUGUACGCUUUAUCUGUGACGUAGGACACAUGGUCUACUUCUUCUCAAUAUCAC
rfam:Oryctolagus cuniculus unplaced genomic scaffold chrTn0352, whole genome shotgun sequence.